rnacentral:rRNA from 1 species
CAGUUCGGUCCCUAUCCGUCGUGGGCGUAGGAAAUUUGAGAGGAGCUGUCCUUAGUACGAGAGGACCGGGAUGGACAUACCUCUGGUGUACCAGUUGUCGUGCCAACGGCAUAGCUGGGUAGCUAUGUGUGGACGGGAUAAGUGCUGAAAGCAUCUAAGCAUGAAGCCCCCCUCAAGAUGAGAUUUCCCAACUUCGGUUAUAAGAUCCCUCAAAGAUGAUGAGGUUAAUAGGUUCGAGGUGGAAGCAUGGUGACAUGUGGAGCUGACGAAUACUAAUCGAUCGAAGACUUAAUCAAAA